UGGGGAAUAUUGGACAAUGGGGGGAACCCUGAUCCAGCCAUGCCGCGUGUGUGAAGAAGGCCUUAUGGUUGUAAAGCACUUUAAGCGAGGAGGAGGGUACUGGUAUUAAUACUACCAGCUACUGGACGUUACUCGCAGAAUAAGCACCGGCUAACUCUGGGCCAGCAGCCGCGGUAAUACAGAGGGUGCAAGCGUUAAUCGGAAUUACUGGGCGUAAAGCGCGCGUAGGUGGUUCGUUAAGUUGAAUGUGAAAGCCCCGGGCUCAACCUGGGAACUGCAUCCGAAACUGGCGAGCUAGAGGAGGGCAGAGGGUGGUGGAAUUUCCUGUGUAGCGGUGAAAUGCGUAGAUAUAGGAAGGAACACCAGUGGCGAAGGCGACCACCUGGGCUCAUACUGACACUGAGGUGCGAAAGCGUGGGGAGCAAACAGG
rnacentral:rRNA from 1 species